UUCCUCCGCCUCGCGCGCAUUGCCCUCUAUCUUGUGUUGGGGCUCAAAUCUUCUCCUAUGCUCGUCUGCUUAUUGAUCGAAUCCGUGCUCGCUUGCUCAGAUCUUCUCCGUUAAGGUUCGGCUGAGCAAUACCAGGAGUGUCGGCCACUUGAUAGUGUUGAAGUCCCAGGUCGCGGUAUCCAUUUUAGAGAAGCGGGUAAACCAAGCGGAUCGGUUUCAUUUUAAGGUGUAAGGAUUUACUAUGGAUUCUGAAGACGCGAAAAGUGCAAGAGAAUCGCUGGACCUUGCAUUUCACAUGGCGAAUAUACUUGACACAGGUCUGGACCGUCACACACUCUCUCUUCUUAUUGCUCUUUGUGACCUGGGUGUCAACCCGGAGGCCCUUGGGGCUGUUGUCAAGGAACUGAGUGGAGAAGUGGCCAAGAAGAAAUAACAGUUGACAGAAACCCCCAUCUUCAUCUUUUUGGCUGCUCGCAGCUCCAUCACCUGCGUCCUAAAUGGAUUCCCCUUUUUAGUUGUGCCUGCGUGAGUUUUUUUUUUUUUGCGAAUCAUGCCUGCUUGACUUCUUGAGACCAGCCAUACUGUAUGUUUUCUAGUGUGGAUUAUUGAAAUUUUGCACAUCCAUUGGUGGUUC